UGGAGAUUUCCUUCUCCCUGUGGCCUAUUCCCAGGGCCUCUAGCUGCCCUCCCAAAGGAUCCCUGUGAGGCCAGGAAGGAAUGGCCUUCCUGGGGACCCAGGAGCUCCCAGCACCUUUCCGGCUGCUUCCUCUACCUCUGUAUUUUGCUCAGCUCUCUAAAUUGACUCAGCUCCAGGGUCUUGCUCUAACACCCAGAUUAGAGUGCAGUGGUGCAGUCUUGGCUCACUGAAGCCUCAACCUCCCAGGCUCAAACGAUCCUGCCACUUCCACCUCCUGAGUAGCUGGGACUACAGAGACGGGGUCUUGCUAUGUUGCCCAGGCUGGUCCCAAACUCCUGGUCUCAAGCCAUCCUCCCACCUCAGCCUUCCAGUGUGCUGGGAUUACAGUGAUGGGGGAAAGUCAGAGUGAUGCAUCUGACAGUACAGUGAUCUCCUCUCCUUUACAA
rnacentral:lncRNA from 1 species